GUCAGUGAUUUGCCUUUGAUCUCACAGCUGUUUAGGAUGCAGUCAUUAACGAGACACACACACACACACACACACACACACACACACACACACACAUUCUUGUACUUGUUGCUUUAUGAGGUCUACCUUGCAGUUCAGCUGCUUGUACACACAGUUAAUAUGUGUCUGCUUCGCCACCUAUCUCCACCCACAAACUUUGAGCUACAGAAACCAUUCUGGGCUUCUAAAAUUCAGCUCAUUGAAGAUAUUAUGGGGUGUUUUGAGGAUUGUGAUAAUAAAUUGUAUUAAUGUGUUUAGCAGAGUCUUGUGUUCUCACAAGCUCCUUAUCAGGAAUAGAUACAGAGGAUGAGCGUCAGGGCCUACUUGGAGUCCUGUUUCCUUAGCUUCAAGCCUUCUUUCUCCUGCUAUAGUUAUGCAUCCAAGGUCCCCAUGGCAACCAAUUAGUGCACCUGGAGACACACAGCUGACUGGAAAGCUGCUUCUAAUGGCCAUAUGAGACACAUGAAGCUAGGCUCAGCACACAUAGCACUGGGGAUGACACUUAAAACCCUUUACUAGAGAGCUUGAAAAAACUUCAGCCCCUAUCUCCUCACAUGACCUUUGACCUACAGAAACCAUUCAGGGCUUUAAAAUUUGAGCUCAUUGAGGACAUUAGGGGGUGUAUUAAGGAUUUAUAUACAUUUAGAUUUUUCACAUUUUAAAGUCACUCAGUGAUGAUUUAUCAUUUAAUUUUUCAAACUAAUUUGAACUGAUUCAAACUGAUUCAAACCUUUCUAAUACUUAAAAAAUUAAACUUAUGCCACUUCUCACCUUCCUGCCUUUUAAGGCAAUUUCCUUCUUCAUUCAAACUUUGUGCAAUUUUAGACAUUUUUCUAGCCUCUUUCAGCAUGAAUAAAAUUUCUUUUUAUAGAGCAUAUUCAUACUAUUUGUCCUUCAACCAAUUAAUCAAUUAUCCAACUUACAUUUCUUUCACACCCCUUCAACAGCUUUAACAUUUAUACAUUUCUCCAUGUUUUAUUAGCAGUUUAGCAUUGCUUUUUCAGCUUUCAGCACUCAGCAUUUCCACGCAUUUUCUGCAAGGAAAUGCAAUUUUUCUAGUAUUAUACUUAACACUCUCCCCAUACGUUUCUUUGGACCGCUUCUCCUCCUUCAAACUUUGUCCGAUUUCAACCGUUCAAACUUUAAACUAUUCCACUCCAUCAGGACAUGUGUGCUUGUAUUUUUUUCCUUUCUAUCCUUUGUACUUUUUAUUAUUUUUCACUUUUUGUUCCAAACUUUUUUCCCAUAGAAAUGAAUGGGGAAAUCUUCCAAUUCUUCCUGUUAUUCGUGCACCUUCUAAGCCUUAUAACUUCAGCAUACUUUCACCUAGAGACCUCAUUUUUGCUUUAAAAUGUUCAUUGUCUUGUCGACUAUUGAUGUUGUAUUAACCUUUUUGUGCUAUCUUUUACAGUUUUUCCACAAUUUAGCUUUAUGCAACUUGUGGUUUUCAGCAAAUUUCAGGCUUUAUAAUAGGGGUGUAUUGGAGAGGCUAGAGUGAUGAUUUGAAAAGCUAGAGUGCAGACCUCCUCCCUGAUCGACAGAACCUCGCUCGAAUAUAUCGCUCCCACGCCCACAAAUCUCACUCCACAGCCAUAAAAAAUACAUCAAAAUGGAGGUAUAUGUGUCCUGCUUCUCACAAAAGAGGUUUCAAAUCAUUAAAUCUUACCCCUUGGCCAGCAGGUGACCAACUGUCCAAAUAGGCGGAAAUCUCUCCCCAUUGGCUCUAAUGUAUUUUUUCUCCAAGAAAAUCCUUAUCGCCACUCAGGCUCAGACUUUUUUAACUCGCUGUUGUGGCGACAUUUUUCGGAGUACAGACAUGAAAAACACAUCAUUGUGUUCAUGAAGGGCGGAGGAUUUGUACGAUGUUCUUAUUUUCAUUCUGGGACUUAAGGAAAUCGUGCUAUGUGAAGAAGUUCAGAACCCUAAAUUCACUGCAGUUCAGCAGCUUCUCCAUUCAAACAAUAGGUCAGUUCAUGGCUUUGAUCUUACAGCUGUUUAGGAUGCAGUCAUUAACGAGACACACACACACACACACACACACACAUUCUUGUACUUGUUGCUUUAUGAGGUCUACCUUGCAGUUCAGCUGCUUGUACACACAGUUAAUAUGUGUCUGCUUCGCCACCUAUCUCCACCCACAAACUUUGAGCUACAGAAACCAUUCUGGGCUUCUAAAAUUCAGCUCAUUGAAGAUAUUAUGGGGUGUUUUGAGGAUUGUGAUAAUAAAUUGUAUUAAUGUGUUUAGCAGAGUCUUGUGUUCUCACAAGCUCCUUAUCAGGAAUAGAUACAGAGGAUGAGCGUCAGGGCCUACUUGGAGUCCUGUUUCCUUAGCUUCAAGCCUUCUUUCUCCUGCUAUAGUUAUGCAUCCAAGGUCCCCAUGGCAACCAAUUAGUGCACCUGGAGACACACAGCUGACUGGAAAGCUGCUUCUAAUGGCCAUAUGAGACACAUGAAGCCAGGCUCAGCACACAUAGCACUGGGGAUGACACUUAAAACCCUUUACUAGAGCGCUUGAAAAAACUUCAGCCCCUAUCUCCUCACAUGACCUUUGACCUACAGAAACCAUUCAGGGCUUUAAAAUUUGAGCUCAUUGAGGACAUUAUUGGGUGUAUUUAGGAUUGUUAUUCAUUUAAAUUUUUCACAUUUUAAAAGUCAGUCAGUGAUGAUUUAUCAUUUAAUUUUUCAAACUAAUUUGAACUCAUUCAAACUGAUUCAAACCUUUCUAAUACUUAAAAAAUUAAUCUUAUACCACUUCUCACUUUCCUGCCUUUUGAGGCAAUUUCCUUCUUCAUUCAAACUUUGUGCAAUUUUAGACAUUUUUCUAGCCUCUUUCAGCAUGAAUAAAAUUUCUUUUUAUAGAGCAUAUUCAUACUAUUUGUCCUUCAACCAAUUAAUCAAUUAUCCAACUUACAUUUCUUUCACACCCCUUCAACAGCUUUAACAUUUAUACAUUUCUCCAUGUUUUAUUAGCAGUUUAGCAUUGCUUUUUCAGCUUUCAGCUUUCAGCACUCAGCAUUUCCACGCAUUUUCUGCAAGGAAAUGCAAUUUUUCUAGUAUUAUACUUAACACUCUCCCCAUACGUUUCUUUGGACCGCUUCUCCUCCUUCAAACUUUGUCCGAUUUCAACCGUUCAAACUUUAAACUAUUCCACUCCUUCAGGACAUGAUGGCUAUUACUUUUCUCUUUUCUACCCUUUAUACUUUUUAUUAUUUUUCACUUUUUGUGCCAAACUUUUUUUCCCAUAGAAAUGAAUGGGGAAAUCUUUCAAUUCUUCCUGUUAUUCGUCCACCUUCUAAGCCUUAUAACUUCAGCAUACUUUCACCUAGAGACCUAAUUUUUGCUUUAAAAUGUUCAUUGUCUUGUCGACUAUUGAUAUUGUAUUAACCUUUUUGUGCUAUCUUUUACAGUUUUUCCACAAUUUAGCUUUAUGCAACUUGCGGUUUUCAGCAAAUUUCAGGCUUUAUAAUAGGGGUGUAUUGGAGAGGCUAGAGUGAUGAUGUCAUCAGCUAGAGUGCAGACCUCGUCUCUGAUCAACACAACCUCGCUCGAAUAUAUCGCUCCCACGCCCACAAAUCUCACUCCACAGCCAUAAAUAAUAGAUCAAAAUGGAGGUAUAUGUGUCCUGCUUCUCACAAAAGAGGUUUCAAAUCAUUAAAUCGUACCCCUUGGCCAGCAGGUGACCAACUGUCCAAGGAAGGCGGAAAUGUCUCCCAUUGACCAUAAUGUUAUUUUUCUCCAGGAAAAUCCGGAUCAUCGCUCAGGCUCAGACUUUUUUAACUCGCUGUUGUGGCCUCAUUUUUCGAAGUACAGACAUGAAAAACACAUCAUUGUGUUCAUGAAGGACGGAGGAUUCGUACGAUGUUCUUAUUUUCAUUCUGGGACUUAAGGAAAUCACGCUAUGUGAAGAAGUUCACAGGCUUCAAAUCCUCUGCUGUUCAGCUGCUUCUCAUUCAAACAGUAGGUCAGUGAUUUGCCUUUGAUCUCACAGCUGUUAGGGAUGCAGUCAUUAAUGAGACACACACACACACACACACACACACAUUCUUGUACUUGUUGCUUUGUCAGGUCUACCUUGCAGUUCAGCUGCUUGUACACACAGUUAAUAUGUGUCUGCUUCACCACCUAUCUCCACCCACAAACUUUGAGCUACAGAAACCAUUCUGGGCUUGAAAAAUUCAGCUCAUUGAAGAUAUUAUGGGGUGUUUUGAGGAUUGUGAUAAUAAAUUGUAUUAAUGUGUUCAGCAAAAUCUUGUGUUCUCACAAGCUCCUUAUGAAUAUAUACAGAGGGUGAGCGUCAGGGCCUACUUGGAGUCCUGUUUCUUUAGCUUCAAGCCUUCUUUCUCCUGCUAUAGUUAUGCAUCCAAGGUCCCCAUGGCAACCAAUUUGUGCACCUGGAGACACACAGCUGACUGGAAAGCUGCUUCUAAUGGCCAUAUGAGACACAUGAAGCCAGGCUCAGUACACAUAGCACUGGGGAUGACACUUAAAACCCUUUCCUAGAGCGCUUGAAAAAACUUCAGCCCCUAUCUCCUCACAUGACCUUUGACCUACAGAAACCAUUCAGGGCUUUAAAAUUUAAGCUCAUUGAGGACAUUAUGGGGUGUAUUUAGGAUUGUUAUUCAUUUAAAUUUUUCACAUUUUAAAAGUCACUCAGUGAUGAUUUAUCAUUUAAUUUUUCAAACUAAUUUAAACUCAUUCAAACUGAUUCAAACCUUUCUAAUACUUCAAAACUUUCUGAUACUUGAGGACUUUUGAUAAUUUAAAAUUUCCCUGUUUUAAAUUAGUUUUAAUAUUUAUGCAUUACUCCAUCAUUCAAACAAAAUCCUACCUCAAGUACGACAACUACUGCUAAUGUCAAUUAAACUAGAACUUUCCCCUCUACUUCAACUGCUAUUGCUCCUAUUUCUACUUUCUUUACUACUUUGACUUAUACUUCUUUUAUUCUCAAUCUACUUCUACUGCUGACAUGACUACUAGUAUCACGACUUGACUUCUUAUACUACAAUUUAAACUUAUGCCACUUCUCACCUUCCUGCCUUUUAAGGCAAUUUCCUUCUUCAUUCAAACUUUGUGCAAUUUUAGACAUUUUUCUAGCCUCUUUCAGCAUGAAUAAAAUUUCCUUUUAUAGAGCAUAUUCAUACUAUUUGUCCUUCAACCAAUUAAGUAGUUAUCCAACUUAUUUUUCUUUUUCAUUCCUUCAACAGCUUUAACAUUUAUACCUUUCUCCAUGUUUUAUUAGCAGUUUAGCAUUGCUUUUUCAGCUUUCAGCACUCAGCAUUUCCACGCAUUUUCUGCAAGGAAAUGCAAUUUUUCUAGUAUUAUACUUAACACUCUCCCCAUACGUUUCUUUGGACCGCUUCUCCUCCUUCAAACUUUGUCCGAUUUCAACCGUUCAAACUUUAAACUAUUCCGCUCCAUCAGGACAUGAUGGCUAUUACUUUUCUCUUUUCUACCCUUUAUACUUUUUAUUAUUUUUCACUUUUUGUGCCAAACUUUUUUCCCCAUAGAAAUGAAUGGGGAAAUCUUUCAAUUCUUCCUGUUAUUCGUCCACCUUCUACACCUUAUAACUUCAGCAUACUUUCACCUAGAGACCUAAUUUUUGCUUUAAAAUGUUCAUUGUCUUGUCGACUAUUGAUGUUGUAUUAACCUCUUGGUGCUAUCUUUUACAGUUUUUCCACAAUUUAGCUUUAUGCAACUUGUGGUUUUCAGCAAAUUUCAGGCUUUAUAAUAGGGGUGUAUUGGAGAGGCUAGAGUGAUGAUUUGAAAAGCUAGAGUGCAGACCUCGUCUCUGAUCGACAGAACCUCGCUCAAAUAUAUCGCUCCCACGCCCACAAAUCUCACUCCACAGCCAUAAAAAAUACAUCAAAAUGGAGGUAUAUGUGUCCUGCUUCUCACAAAAGAGGUUUCAAAUCAUUAAAUCCUACCCCUUGGCCAGCAGGUGACCAACUGUCCAAAUAGGCGGAAAUCUCUCCCCAUUGGCCCUAAUGUAUUUUUUCUCCAAGAAAAUCCUUAUCGCCACUGAGGCUCAGACUUUUUUAACUCGCUGUUGUGGCCACAUUUUUCGGAGUACAGACAUGAAAAACACAUCAUUGUGUUCAUGAAGGACGGAGGAUUCGUACGAUGUUCUUAUUUUCAUUCUGGGACUUAAGGAAAUCACGCUAUGUGAAGAAGUUCACAGGCUGAAAUUCACUGCAGUUCAGCACCUCUCAGUCAAACAGUAGGUUAGUGAUUUGCCUUUGAUCUCACAGCUGUUUAGGAUGCAGUCAUUAACGAGACACACACACACACACACACACAUUCUUGUACUUGUUGCUUUUUGAGGUCCACCUUGCAGUUCAGCUGCUUGUACACACAGUUAAUAUGUGUCUGCUUCACCACCUAUCUCCACCCACAAACUUUGA